AGCCAUAGUGGUGGUUCAUUAACGGUUAACAGCGGAAACAGCAGUAAUACCAGCAUUGGUGACAGCAGUGCUCCAAAUAACCCCUCAACUACAGCAGCAGCAACUACCAUAGGUGGAGCACCUACUGCUAGUACCACCACAACUACCAAUACUACCAGCAGUCAAGGAGGGAACCAGACAACCACCACAAGCAUUAACACCAGCAUUAGUAGUAUCACAAGUAGCAGCAGCAGUAGCAGCACUACCACCAAUAGCACUAAUAAUGUUGGAGGCACAAACAAGACCUCCACGCCAUCACCACAGUCCACUCCAAAUCUCCCACCCUCCAUGCAGGAGAACCCACAGGAUAACUAAUCCACACAUUCGGAAUUUACGUUUGCUUAAGAUGGAAGAAAAAAUUGUAUGAAAAUGAAACCAUAGUUUCAGCUGUUUGGCAUUAAAUACUUGGGAGGAUGGACUUGUUUGCCAAUGCUGUUGUGUAGUGCUGCACCAAGGGGGAAAGGUCACACAAGAGAAUGACGCAACAUGGAUGUGAAGAUUCUCAUUUCAUUAUAUGAGUCUGACCAAGAGUGAAUCACUGCUUGAUUCUUUUUUUUUUUUUUUUUUUUUUUUCUUCUUCUUUUUUUCUUUUUUUUAAUGGCAGUGUACAAGAGCACUUGCAAAGGACUUUUGUUAUUUAUCUUCAGAAGAAAAAAUAUAUACAUAUGAUUGUAAAUAAAUAGAGAAUGGCAGUGAGAUAAAUUGCUGAAAGAAGAUUGUUCCUUCUGCUCAAAGUGUAUGUUGGGACCCUUCCUGUAUAUCAUGUGACUUUGGUGAUCACAAGUUCACAGCAGAACUAUAUGUAGAGAAGUGGUGUGAAUAUAUCACCAAUGAUUAUUUAUAUGGAAAUAAGUGUAAGCGUUACCGGUGAACCAUGGAGGGUGGGAGGGUGGAGCCACCUGUGUAUCUAGUGACAAUUAUGGAAGUCAAACGAAUGUCUGUAUUUUUGCACCUUGAUUUCCGUAGCAAGUGGCUUUUGAAAUUCAUUCUGUAGGAGAAGCUUUCUGAGAAGUUUAAAGUAUCUUACAUGUGUUAUAUUCUUAAAAAUCUGUCCUUUUUUACUGAGUAAUAUCCUUUUCAUAAAUACACUAGUAAGGGUGUGCUUAAUUCAGUAUUUUAAGUAUCAAAUUUUCCUGUGUACCUACGGAAAGACUCCACAAGUGACUAGUCAAGCAGUGAGUAGUGGAAGCCCCUAAGCCAGCCAGCUGUUCUAUUCUGGACUUGGAAGGUAGCACCAACCUACUGAGUCCAGAGCUUGUAAACAAGUGGUGCCAUGUUUAGGUGUCACAGUGCAAUGUACAGGUGUUGCAGUGCCACACAUGUGUCGCAGUACAACUGGCUGGCUGCUUCUGUAGAAGAGCAUCAUGGCCAUCAUGGUCCGAGUGCCAACACCAUGUGAACUACUUUGUCAGAUGGGGAAGCACUGUUAGCCUCCUAGCACAUCACCUGCUGUUGCAAAGUGCAAUGUUUGAAAAAAAAAAAAAAAAAAAAGAUAUAUAACUCACUAGUUUUAGUGAAUUUUUUUGUAGUGGGAUUGAGGCAGUGCCUGUGAAUAUGAAUGAAGUACCAGUGAUCCAUAGGAAAUGUGAAAGGAACAGUGAGGCUCAAAGCUUGAAUUCCAAGUUUGUGGAUUCCACUUCAUGGUAUGCUUGGAUUCUGGCAAAUAUUAGCAUGGAGAUAUCUUUUUCUGCUGUUGAUGCCAUGGUUUGGAGAAAUGAUAGCUGUGUAAGAAUCCAUAUCCUAGAAACAUUUGAUACUCCAACAUUAUCUGCAGUUGAAUAUUACUCUUUGCUGACCGGCAUUUCAAGUCACACCCUGCACCAGUCAACCAAGCAUCUUUUUCAGCUUGGAGUACUGCGACUCUUGUAUCAUUGUGAGAACGUUGGUCAUUGCAAUCGGUAGGCUUGUUGUCAGUCUGGCUCUUAUCUGGUAAAAAGAAAAAAAAAUGAUAAUAUAAUAAUAAAAAAAAUCUAAGGAUGGGAGCCUUAUUGACCCUCAGGAUUCCCGGUUAUUAUGAUGGUAACCCUCACAAUCCCCGCUUGUUGUCUGUGAGCCGUGCUGCUGCCAAGGUGUAACCACCUCUUGUUGUGACUUAGUAAGUUUUUUGUAUGGAAACUUUUGUUAGUUCCCUAUUUAUAUUAAUGAUAAAGCAGUUUGGAGUGGAAAUAGUGGUAGCAGUCAGUCACCAUCGUUAGGAGCUGAUCCAGCCUCGUGCAUCCGCUUGUUACUGUCUUGUUUGCCUACUAAUGUAUUAUAGGUUUCCCACACAGAUGCCUUUUUUGUUUUAAGGAACUCAAGUUUGGAUACUGAAAAAAAAAAAAAAAAUGCAAUUGGGAAAUGAGUGGCUGUUAUGUAAAUUCAAAAUGGGUUGAUCAUGCAAUGUUCAUAUUUGAAGGAUGGUAGGUGGAAAUUGUCAAUUGGUUGAUAUUUUUCUUUUUUUACAUAUAUAUAUUUGCUGCCACCAACUGUGAUUAUAUGAAAUUGUGAAGACUUGUAAACAAUGUAUGAUGUAGUAUUUUCAUGUUACUACCUUGUCAAUAAUUGUAAAGCACCAGAGCAUACUUGUAUAUCACUGUAUAAGAUAUAAUUUAAUUGAAAUGGAGCACUUUUUUAUUGAAGUCAUUUAACAGAUUUAUUUUUAUGCCAAUGCCCUUUUUCUUCAACAUCAUGCUUUUGUGUCCAAAAUAAAACCAGUGCUUAUUUUUAUCUUUUAUUUGUGUUCAGGAUUCUCAUUAAUUUAUUGCUGUAUGGCUGAAUAUGCUAAAAUAUAACUAAAAAGUUUG